GUUAAGCGACUAAGCGUACACGGUGGAUGCCCUGGCAGUCAGAGGCGAUGAAGGACGUGCUAAUCUGCGAUAAGCGUCGGUAAGGUGAUAUGAACCGUUAUAACCGGCGAUUUCCGAAUGGGGAAACCCAGUGUGAUUCGUCACACUAUCAUUAACUGAAUCCAUAGGUUAAUGAGGCGAACCGGGGGAACUGAAACAUCUAAGUACCCCGAGGAAAAGAAAUCAACCGAGAUUCCCCCAGUAGCGGCGAGCGAACGGGGAGCAGCCCAGAGCCUGAAUCAGUGUGUGUGUUAGUGGAAGCGUCUGGAAAGGCGCGCGAUACAGGGUGACAGCCCCGUACACAAAAAUGCACAUACUGUGAGCUCGAUGAGUAGGGCGGGACACGUGGUAUCCUGUCUGAAUAUGGGGGGACCAUCCUCCAAGGCUAAAUACUCCUGACUGACCGAUAGUGAACCAGUACCGUGAGGGAAAGGCGAAAAGAACCCCGGCGAGGGGAGUGAAAAAGAACCUGAAACCGUGUACGUACAAGCAGUGGGAGCACAGAGCAAUCUGUGUGACUGCGUACCUUUUGUAUAAUGGGUCAGCGACUUAUAUUCUGUAGCAAGGUUAACCGAAUAGGGGAGCCGAAGGGAAACCGAGUCUUAACUGGGCGUUAAGUUGCAGGGUAUAGACCCGAAACCCGGUGAUCUAGCCAUGGGCAGGUUGAAGGUUGGGUAACACUAACUGGAGGACCGAACCGACUAAUGUUGAAAAAUUAGCGGAUGACUUGUGGCUGGGGGUGAAAGGCCAAUCAAACCGGGAGAUAGCUGGUUCUCCCCGAAAGCUAUUUAGGUAGCGCCUCGUGAAUUCAUCUCCGGGGGUAGAGCACUGUUUCGGCAAGGGGGUCAUCCCGACUUACCAACCCGAUGCAAACUGCGAAUACCGGAGAAUGUUAUCACGGGAGACACACGGCGGGUGCUAACGUCCGUCGUGAAGAGGGAAACAACCCAGACCGCCAGCUAAGGUCCCAAAGUCAUGGUUAAGUGGGAAACGAUGUGGGAAGGCCCAGACAGCCAGGAUGUUGGCUUAGAAGCAGCCAUCAUUUAAAGAAAGCGUAAUAGCUCACUGGUCGAGUCGGCCUGCGCGGAAGAUGUAACGGGGCUAAACCAUGCACCGAAGCUGCGGCAGCGACGCUUAUGCGUUGUUGGGUAGGGGAGCGUUCUGUAAGCCUGCGAAGGUG
rnacentral:rRNA from 1 species